AGAUGUGAGAACAAUUUGGCUGAGACAUCUGUUGCCUCUUUGUUCACCAGUGUUGAUUCUACUGAUCCGAUUGGUGGGACAAAUGCCCUUCUUCCUUCCUCGCUGCUCCAUGUGCAUCCCUACCCCCUGAAUCUGUACACACGAAAACACUGGCAAACAAACAGCAAGGGGAGCCAUGGCCUUGGGUGAGCUUGUUUAAGAA
rfam:Myotis lucifugus cont2.6939, whole genome shotgun sequence.